rnacentral:lncRNA from 1 species
CAAGUGUUAAAUGUGUGCUUGGUGAAGGCCACGGCUUGAGCUCGGAUCAACGUCGACGUUGCGCCGGAGAGCCGUUCGAGCGUGUGGACGUCGUGGUUGCGUCAUUGGAGGCCGGGCGAGCGCGUAAUUUUCUCUCCUUUCGACUUCUCGCCGUGGUUGGAUUAGCGUUUCGAGGUGGGUUGAAGUUUACCGAAAUCGUCGGAAUAUCUUCUAAAUUUUAGCAUCAUCGACAUGUAUCAUCUAUGUAUUUUCUUGCUAGUACUCGAAUUCAUGAAUUAGUAUUUAAAUCUGAAUUUGGAGUUAAGUUAGUAGUUUAAUUUUACAUGUUGGACUUGGAAUUGACUUAGGAAAAAACUAUUAGAAUCCACACUGUCACUUUCUGAAAAUUAUCAGAUUUAGCUUUAGGAGCUAUGGUUCAUUUGUAUCGCCACUGUUUGUAUGCAGUGGAUAUUCAGAAUAGUGUAAAAUGAAUUUAGGCUCGUGUUGGGAUGUCAAACUUAUUUUACAGUAAUAUGUAGACUGUUUCGAACUGUCAGGUGCCGUCGCGGUUGACGGUGGACCUAGUUUGCUGUUUUUAUAUCGGAUUGUGCAAAGGGCAUAUGAGUUUUGGUUGUAGGACUUGUUAGACCCAUUUGUCUUGAUUAUAGCUUGUGAGAGCCUGAUUGAACUCGGUAGAGACACGCUUGCAUACUCUAUUGGGUAGCACCCACGAGCGCCAUUCCGGAGUCGUACUUUGUGCAUUCGCGUUGUUGUCGUU